rnacentral:snRNA from 1 species
CCAGCCGAGCUCAAUGUGC